AAAAGCACUUCCCUGUGGUGGGUGAAUUACAUGUCCUUUGCCAAGGCAAGCUGCAGAGGAGGGGCUGUGAGGUCAGGUCAGCGUGUAAUUGAGCACCUGCUGCAUGCCUGGUCUUGGGAGAAGCCAGGAGGUCCUCAGAGAGGCUUGUGGGGCAGAAGCAGCUCAGAAGCAGGAUCAGGCUUCCACUCCCUCCAAGGGAAGGGCCAAGCUUGCCAGGCCAGGUGACACUCCCCUGGGUGCCUGCCGGCAGCCCCCACCAUGGAGUAACCAGAGCCACCCUGUCCCCCUCGCUAAGCUGAGGUUUUGAGUUAUUCUCAGUGAUGACCUUUCCCUGAACAGCAGCCGCAGUCAUUAAAGGCCAAGGGGCAGGGUGAGGCCGGAGGUGUGACUGGGCAGGCCUGGAAAGGAGCUGCAGGAGCAGCUGGAGGGCUGCGGAGACGAGGUGCCAGGCCCCAGGGAGAGGUCCUGCGGGGCAGCUUGCAGAGCAAAUAUUGCCUGAGUGGCAGCACUGCAGGCUACUCCAGUGACAGGCGUCACAGGGACUCAAGUCUGCUAGAGCCAGAGCCAGUGCCAAGCAGUGUGCAGGUGCUUUCCUUGCAGCUUGCUUGAGUGCGGCCGAGGGGUGAGAAGGGCUCCAGCUGCAGGGUGCAGGGAAGGCUUGGGGGUGCAGAGAGGCAGUGCAGGGUGUGGCGUGGGUGCUGUGAAUGCAAUGAGUGUGGCUCUAACACGUGACCGCGGCAGGUGUACCUAAGAGAGCAUCAUCCACUUGGGAUUUCCCCACUGGGGCUGUUGCCAGGGCUUUAUACUGGAAGCUCUGUGCUGGGCGGCAGCAUCUGGAGCUGUCCUCUCUUUUGAAUGUCCCAAAGGCCUUGGAGCCUGGAAGAGAAUUCAGCCCUGAAGCUCUAAGGCAUCUGUUGUGUGUAAUGAGUUACCUUCUUUCUAGAAUGGGCCUAGUUAAUGUACCAUCCUUGGAAGGAUUGAGAAGAGUCACUCAGAUCCUUUUCUGCAUCCUGUGGCUCAGAUGAGGAACCCCGGUCAAGAGAGACUGUGCAGAGUCUAACAAAUGUUGCAUGCCUGACACAGGAGGGGAGGCGCCUUCCACCUCCUCCCCAGGAUCUGGAGCCUGAGCAGGCGGUGGUCAGGGAUGUGGGGGGGCUCCCGCGAGCCAAGGAGCCCAGCACAGCAGGGCUGUGUCCCAGCCUGGGUUUUCAUUGCCUGUAACCACCCAGCCUGCAGAGCUGAGUGGGGGGUGUGGCUUAGGGAGAGACCUGAGUCUCCCAGGUAAGACCUAGGAAUGCGAAUUGGGCACAGGAACGUGGGGCAGGGGCUGGCCAGUGAGGCCCAAGUGGCCAGGGUAGGCGCACUGGAGGCCUCCUGGGCCAGGCCAGACAUGGAGGAACUUGCCCAGGUCACUAAGGGUGUAUAUUGCUGAAUUGAGAAAGUGACAUCUGAAGAUCCAGGGAUAGGUGAAAUUUCUGGAUCUAGGGCCUCUCAGGUGAGAUAGAGGAGUCAGGAUAGACUUAAGGAUAUUGUGCUGGCUCUGAGGUACCAUCAGAAGAGUCUGGUCUGGCAUAGGUACAUGUAAGUGGUGAGGCCCCAUCAGCUGGGCUCAGUCAUGGGGCAGCCUCGUGCGUCGGGAUCAGGCAGAGGUGUGGUAAACUGUGGGGUCCUUCAGGGCCCAGCCAGAGUCAGCACAUGUUGGAGAGCUCAUUUGGGCUGCUGAGGUCUGAAGAGGAGCCAGGACAGGCACAGGUGAGUUCUGAGGAGGCACCAGUACAGGUAAAGGUACAGGUGGGGUCUGUGAAUUCUGGAGGAAUUCAGAUAUUUGGAGAUGGUUCUCUCGAGUGGAGUGUGAGGAGCCAAAGUCAUGUACAGGUACUUAAACCCAGAUCCAUGAAUCUGAUUUAAGAUGUAUUCGCUGGAGUCUCUCUGGUUCUGAAAAGAGAGCUUCAGGCCGUGGGUGGCUCAUCCCUCAAGUGAGGUGAUUAGAACUCAGGCUUAGGCAAACAUAGGUAAGUCCCCUCCACCAGGUCAACCACCAGGUUUUCAGCAUCCUGACCAGGUGUGAUGGGCAGAGCUCAGAGUAUUGUAGGGGCCUCUGAGGAUCCAUAGCCAGCAUGAGGCAUGCUAGGUGGCAUUGGGGUCUGACUGGAUGGCGUUUGAGGAACCAGAUGACGGGGAGGUCAGGAUGCACCUGCUUCUAAAAGGUGAGGACUAGGGAGUUGGGGCAGGUGAAGAACAGACCGGUGAGCUGACUGAGGAGCCAUGUCGGUAAGACUCAGAAUAAGAGGCUCGUGUUAGAUAACUAUCCAGAGACUCUGUCUCUAGAAGGGUCGGAGGCCCAUGUCACUCAGACACUGGCACCCGUGGGCUCUUCUGAGGUUUCCCCCAGGCCGAGGUAAGCAGCUGGGAAUCUGUCAGUUCCCAGGGAAGAGUCUUUUCAGGUUAGGUUUGCACAGUGGAGUCUGCCAGGGGUCAUCUCUAGACCAUGUCUGUCGGAGGUCUCAGGAGCUGGAAUCAGACAGGUGUGUUUAACUAGGGGAGGCCUAGAAGCCAGAUUAGGUCCAUCCAGGCAGAAAUGGGUAAGGAUGCGGGAGCCGAAGGUAAGCACAGACUCAGUAAGAGCUGAGUAUGACAGAUGGAAACUGGAAAUCCACGAUCAGGUCCAGGUCAGACUGUGUCCUCAGGUGUUGUUUGAGGAGCUCUGGUGAUGCUCAGGUUGAUGGUUCUGGAGAUGGUCCUCGGUUCCCUGGGGAAAAGACUGAAAAACCAGAGUCAGGUAAAGAGGUGGAGCACUGCAUCCAUCCACCUGGAAGGUUCACGAAUUCUGGGUCUGUCUCAGGUACACAAAACAGGUCUGUUGGGUGAGGUUUGAGGUUUGUGAGAUCCAGGUAUGUCCGUUUGGUUCUUAAAACAGGUAAGGUCAGAGCUGCUGAGGUCAGUCCCUGGUUUGCAUUCCAAAUCUGCGGAGCUAGGGUCCACCACAGGGGAAUAGAACUGAUUGUUUUAGGGAACAUCUAUAAAACCAAGAGCAAGCCAGAGGUAGGUUGAAAAGCUGUGUUAGGUUCAUUAAAGUCCAUCCCACAGUUGAAGUCAGGCACAGGUAGGUAGAGCAGAUCUGUCAGGUGAGGCCUGAGGAGCAAGCCAGGGUUAGGCUCAUCUAGAAAGAACUGGACCUCUUAGGUGACCUUUGAGGAUCUGGAGUGAAUACAGGUGGAUAGAGGUAGGUAUCUCAGGUGAGAUCUGAGGAGCUGGCAGUGGGCAUGGUUGAGACUGUCUGGAUCUCCCAGGUAAGGUCGAGGUAGGUAGGUGGAACUGCAUCCCUAUCUGUCUUGUAGAGGUUUCUUGAGGAUUUGCAGCCAGGCACAGGUAUGUGCAGUUGAAUUUCUCAGGUAAGGUCUAUGGAUCAGCAUCUUGCACAAGUUUUAUCCAUGGGUCUGUCAGUUUGAGUUAAGCACAGGUGGGUAGAGUAGGGUUUGUCUGUGGAGUCAGGAUUAGGGCAAGUUCACAAAACUAGGUCUGUCCAGUGCAAUCUCAGAGUCACAGCCAAGUCCAGGUAAGAAGAACCAAAUGUCUUCGAUGAGCUGUGACCUGCCGUGAUGAGGUAAAGGUAGUCAGAGCUAGCCUGCCAGGGGCAGCCUCAGGAGCCGAGAGCAAGCACAGGUAGGUAGAACUGACCUGCCAGGUGUGGCCCAAGGAGCCAGAGUCAAGCACACAGGUAGGCAGAGCUGGUUUGUUAGAUACAAUGUAAGGAGCCAAGGUCAUCAAUAGGUAGGUAGCACUGGUCUGCUGGGUAUGGUCUGAGGAGUGAGGGUCAAGCACAGGUAGGCAGAGCUGGUCUACUAGGUAUGGUCUGAAGAGCCAGGGUCAAGAUGCAGGUAGGCCCAUCAGGUAUUGUUGGAGGAGCCCAGGUCAGACAGGUAGGUGGAACUGGUCCAAUAAGCCUGCUCUGAGGAUCCAAGAUUAUGUACAGGUAGGUAGAGCUGGUCUACUAAGUACAGCCUAAGGAGUCAGAAUCACUCCUGUACAGGUAGACAGAGCUGGUCUACUGGUACAGCAUUAGGACCCAGGAUUCUGUACAGGUAGGCAGACCUGACCCUGAGAUAUGGCUGGAGGGGCCAGGGUCAGAGACAGGUAGGCAGACUUGGUCCAUUAAGUAUGGUCUAAAGAGCCAGGGUCAAGCCAUUCAGGUAGGUGGAGUUGGCCCAUCAGCUCUGGCUGGAGGAGCCAGUGUCAAGAGAGAGGUAGGUAGAGCUAGUCUCCUUUGAAUGAGCUGAGGACUCAGCGUCAUGGACAGGUAUACAGAGUUGGUCUGCCAGCUGUGGUCUGAGGACCCAGGGUCAUGUACAGGUAGGCAGACCUGACCAUCAGGUAUGUGGAAGGAACCAGAGUUAGAUACAGGUAGGUAGAGAUGGUUCACUAGGUACAGCAUGAGGACCCAGGGUUGUGAACAGGUAAGCAAGCUGGUUCACUAAGUAUGGUCUGAAGAGCCAUGGUCAAGCCAUACAGGUAGGUAGAGCUAGCCCAUCAAGAACAGCUGGAGGAACCAGGGUUAGAGACAGGUAGGUGGAACUGGUCUGCUUUGUAUGCUCCAAGGACCCAGGGUCAUGUACAGGUAGGCAGAGCUGGUCUGAGGACCCAGGGUCUUGUACAGGUAGGCAGAGCUGGUCUGAGGACCCAGGGUCUUGUACAGGUAGGCAGAGCUGGUCUGAGGACCCAGGGUCUUGUACAGGUAGGCAGAGCUGGUCUGAGGACCCAGGGUCAUGUACAGGUAGGCAGAGCUGGUCUGAGGACCCAGGGUCUUGUACAGGUAGGCAGAGCUGGUCUGAGGACCCAGGGUCUUGUACAGGUAGGCAGAGCUGGUCUGAGGACCCAGGGUCUUGUACAGGUAGGCAGAGCUGGUCUGAGGACCCAGGGUCUUGUACAGGUAGGCAGAGCUGGUCUGAGGACCCAGGGUCUUGUACAGGUAGGCAGAGCUGGUCUGAGGACCCAGGGUCAUGUACAGGUAGGCAGAGCUGGUCUGAGGACCCAGGGUCUUGUACAGGUAGGCAGAGCUGGUCUGAGGACCCAGGGUCUUGUACAGGUAGGCAGAGCUGGUCUGAGGACCCAGGGUCUUGUACAGGUAGGCAGAGCUGGUCUGAGGACCCAGGGUCUUGUACAGGUAGGCAGAGCUGGUCUGAGGACCCAGGGUCGUGUACAGGUUGGUAGAGUUCUCCCAUCAGGUGUGGUCUGAAGACCCAGGGUCAAGCCACACAGGUAGGUAGGGUUGGCCCCUGAGGUAUGGUUGGAGGAGCCAGGGUCAGAGACAGGUAGGCAGAGCUGGUCUGCUAGGAAUGGUCUGAAGAGCCAAGGGUCAUGUACAGGUAGGUGGAGCUGCUCUACCAGGUAUGGUCUGAGGACCCAGGAUCAUGUACAGGUAGGCAGAGCUUGUUUUCUAAUUAUGGUCUGAUCUCCCAGGGUCAUGUACAGGUAGGUAAGAGUGGGCCUAUCAGGGAUGGUCUGAAGAGCCAGGGUCAAGCCACGCAGGUAGGUGGGCUUGGCCCAUCAGGUAUGGUUGGAGGAGCCAGGGUCAGAGAUAGGUAGGUAGAGCUGGUCUGCUUUGUAUGAUCCGAGUACCCAGGAUCUUGUCCAGGUAGAUAGAGCUGGUCUGCCAGGUAUGGUCUGAAGAGCCAAGGGUCAUGUACAGGUAGGCAGAGCUGGUCCUCUAAGUAUGGUCUGAAGAGCCAGGGUCAAGUCAUAUGGGUAGGUAGAGUUGGCCCAUCAGCUAUGGUCUGAAGAGCCAAGGGUCAUGUACAGGUAGGUGGAGCUGGUCUGUCAGGUACGGUCUGAGGACCCAGGAUCACGUACAGGUAGGCAGAGCUUGUUUUCUAAUUAUGGUCUGAUCUCCCAAGGUCAUGUACAGGUAGGUAGAGUUGGCCCAUCAGCUAUGGUCUGAAGAGCCAAGGGUCAUGUACAGGUAGGUAGAACUGGUCUCCUGGGUAUGGUCUGAGGACCCAAGGUCAAGUUCAGGUAGGCAGAGCUUGUUUUCUAAUUACGGUCUGAGGACCCAGGGUCAUGUAUAGGUAGGUAGAGUUGGCCCAUCAGGUAUGGUCGGAAGAGCCAGGCUCAGAGACAGGUAGGCAGAGCUGAUCCACUAGGUGCAGUCUGAGGACCCAGGGUCAUAUACAGACUGGUCCUCUAGGUAUGGUCUGAAGAGCCAGGGUCAAGUCGCACAGGUAGGUAGAAUUGGUCCAUCGGGCCAAGCCUGUCUGCCAGGUGUAGUCUUUUUUUUUUUUUUUUGUCUUUUUGCCAUUUCUUGGGCCACUCCUACAGCAUAUAGAGGUUCCCAGGCUAGGGGUCGAAUCGGAGCUGUAGUCACCGGCCUACGCCAGAGCCACAGCAACGCAGGAUCCGAGCCACGUUUGCAACUACACCACAGCUCACGGCAACACUGGAUCCUUAACCCGCAACCUCAUGGUUCCUAGUCGGAUUCGUUAACCACUAAGCUACAACGGGAACUCCUGCCAAGUGUAGUCUUGAGGAGGCCUAAGGCGUAAGGGUUGAAUGCAGGUGGGUAGAGUUGGCUCUUUCAGGUGUUGGAUUCAGGCAGAGGUAUGUACCCCUGGUCUUUUUGUGAGGCCUGAAGAACCAUAGUAAAGCCCUGGUGGGUAGAGCAGCCCCAGUUCAGGCCUGUGCCAUGGGGUCUUCUGUAGGUAGGCAGAAUACUGGGCUUAUAGGAGAUCUGGGGGCCCUAAGUUAGCUGGGGUCGGUAGAUGCGGCUGUCAAGGAAAUACUUUGAGGCCAGACCUAUGUACACUUGAGUCUUACAGACGAAGUCCUUGGAGCAUGGAUCUGACUCGGGUGUUGACCCAGGUCCUAGAGGUUAGGCCUGGGGGGCAUGGGUUAGUCACAGGUAGUAGAACCACAUCUCUCAGGUGGGGUCUGCUGAGCACAGAUAUGCAGAGAUACUUGUGUCUGAUGAGGUCUGAGGCUCCUUGGUGAGGUGUUGGUGCCGCGGUUAAGCAGAGGUUGGUAGUUUAGGUUCUGUUUGCGAGACAUGAAAAGCCGAGUCCAACAUAGACGAUAGACCUGGGUCUUUCAUGUUAGGCCUGGAGCAGAAAUCAGGCCCAUGGAGACAGAGCCAGAUCUCUCAGGAAGAUGGGAGGAGUCUUGAGUUGGGCUCAGGGAGGUGGACUUGGGUCUGUUGGUUGAGAUGUGAGGAGUCAGGGUUAAGCACAGAAAGGUAAGUGAAGCCUGGCUUAUUAGCUGAGCUGUCUGGAGCCUGCCUCUGACAGGUGUGGAACCCUGUAGUGUGAGGUACCGGAGUGGGAGCCUGCCUCCCAGGUGAAGCCACUGCGUCUGUACCCAGUGCUGCGAUGUUGACCUGGCUUUGUCACUGAGUUUCUGGAUCGAGGUCACAUGGACAGCAGUUCCCAUCGUGGCUCAGCAGUAACAAACCCAACUAGCAUCCAUGAGGACAUGGGUUCGACCCCUGGCCUCACUCAGUGGGUUAAGGACCCAGCGUUGCCAUGAGCUGUGGUGUAGGCCGGCAACUGCAGCUCUGAUUCGACCCCUUUGCCUGGGAACUUCCAUAUGCCUCGGGUGCAGCCAUAAAAAGCAAAAAAAAAAAAAAAAAAAAAAAAAAGAAGAAAAA